CCUGGGGACACGUUGGGGUUGGGGUUAGGGCGGAGGUGGUGCGCCCCAAAUCCACCAAACUGCACCACAGGCCUUUCCGAGGAUCCCUGAGCCUCCGCCCGGAGCCCAGGCCGUCACAGCGCCACUUCAGCAGGAAAUCCCUCCCCUGGAGCCCAGCCGCCGCCGCCGCCGCCGCCGCCUCCUCCCACGCGAAGCUUCCGUCAACCCCAAGGCCCACCUCCUCGACAAAGGACCACCCCUUGCUCCCUGGCCACCGUCCUCUCCGCCCAACCCCGGCGGUUUAUUUACAAUCCUGCGCUGAGUCGUUCACCGAAGAUGGCGCCCAGUGAAGUCGCCUGCCUUGUUCGCGGCCCACCCCGAGGCGGUCACACCCCUGUCCCGCCCCCGCAGCUCCAAAAAUCAGGCGGAAACACCGGAGCAAAAACUGUAUUUACACAACACGGGGUUAUACAAAGAUUUAAAAAGGCGGAGUGAGUAGACGAUGGUCAGGAGGGGCCACAGCGCUGGCCGGCGGCGAGACCCAGGAUGUUUGCCUGCAACACAGGAGGGAGACAGCGACGUUAGAGAGGGGCGUGGGGCGCAGGACAGGCAGAGGAGGGGCAGGGCCGUGACUUCACCUUAAGGAAGGACUCCAUCUGUUUCCCUGUUAUGCCCUCCACGCGUUCCAGGUCCUCCACCUGGCGGGACAGGAUCGAUGGGGGACAGGGUCUCGGGGGUACCCGGUCUCCCCCACCCUUCCCCAGUCCAGUGGGCUACUACCUGGCUGAAGGGGCCGUGGAGCUCCCGCCAGCCCACGAUUAGCUGGGCCUUCUUCGGGCCAAUGCGCUGAAGACUGCGGAGAUCUCGGGCUGAGCCUUCGUUCAGCAGAUCCAGUAUUUUUUGGCGCCCAUGAGCCAGUAGCUCCGGGCUGAUCUGUAGCUCCCAGCAGUCCUCAGCCUUCUCCUCAGGCUCUAGGGCAUCCAGGGACUCCAGCUGGGAGGCAAAGGGAGAUGAGUGACACGCAGGGCAGCCAAGUGCUUUGGACUCCUCUGCCAAGACUAGAAGCCCAGCACCAGCUACCUCCUGCGCUCCAGCCUCUUCCUCUCCUGUCAAGUGUGUCCAAAAUCCCGCCCUCAGAUCACUCUUAAUUCUCAUUAUACAACUAGUGAAAGAGAGGUACUACUUAGUACCCAGUGGUAAUAUUAGCACCCCUUCUCAUGGAGUUGCUGUGGAGAUCAAGUGAGUUAAUGAAUGUAAAGCACAAAAUAAGCUCUUAAAUCUGGUCCCUCAUCUCUAAAAGGGAAAUAAACUGUCUUUCAAAAGUACAUGGGAGAAAGUAAUAUGAAUAAAUGAUAACUCCCCCAACCA